rnacentral:rRNA from 1 species
UUGAACGCUGGCGGCAUGCCUUACACAUGCAAGUCGAACGGCAUCGCGGGAAAGCUUGCUUUCCUGGCGGCGAGUGGCGAACGGGUGAGUAACACAUCGGAACGUACCGGCUAGUGGGGGAUAACCCGUCGAAAGACGGGCUAAUACCGCAUACGCUCUUCGGAGGAAAGCAGGGGACCUUUGGGCCUUGCGCUAGUCGAGCGGCCGAUGUCCGAUUAGCUAGUUGGUGGGGUAAAGGCCUACCAAGGCGACGAUCGGUAGCGGGUCUGAGAGGACGAUCCGCCACACUGGGACUGAGACACGGCCCAGACUCCUACGGGAGGCAGCAGUGGGGAAUCUUGGACAAUGGGGGCAACCCUGAUCCAGCAAUGCCGCGUGGGUGAAGAAGGCCUUCGGGUUGUAAAGCCCUUUCGGCAGGGAAGAAAUCGGCGGGGCGAAUAACCCUGCUGGAUGACGGUACCUGCAGAAGAAGCACCGGCUAACUACGUG